UUAGCGAACAAAAAAUAUCCUUAUACUAUUUAAGCUAUUGCAAAAAUUAUCCUUUCGUUAAGUUUUGUCAAGAAAACUAACGCCUAAGCAAAAGAGCAUGCCAAGCACGUGGAUUUUCCCCUAAAUUUUUCAAAAAUACCCUCCUGCCCAAUUAUCUUCCACCUUCACCAAAAAAGACUAAGGCUUUAAAAAUAAAGUUUGUUUCCAAAUGAACUUCAAAGAAUUAUCAAGGGCAAACUCUUGAGUAAAAAGAGAAGCAAGGGCUAUUUUUUCACGCCGCACAAACAAGGUAAAGAAUGAUUUUUCAAUUCUAUUACGAUUUUUGCUAUUUCUCAGACUGAAUUAGUUGGUUAAUGUAUUUGGCUUCUUACUGUAAGCCUUCUUUGUCACUUUAAUUUGAAAGAGAUUACUGCAAGUCUAAAGGACAAUUAGAAGUAACCAAGUCCCUUACCUGUUUGUUGAAAUGUCAGAAAGAUUUUCUAAUUUCAUUUUUUUCCUCGUCUUGGUUUGAAUAAUCUAAAUGCUGCCCCAAAAGAAAAUAUUGGAGAAGAAGAUAUUAGUUUAGAAGUUGUUCAUCUAGAAUUAGAAUUGUUAGUUUCAGGAGUCUACAUUAGAUAACUAUAUUUUCUGCUGCAAAAGAAAAUAUUUUUCUUGCUACAAGUUUACAUCAAAGACCAUUUCAUUCGUGGAGAUAUUUAAAUUUCUUCUCUUUGUUGCAGCAACAGUGGAAUAGACUAAUGUAAGAUCCUUCAUGUGAUUCAAAAAAACUCUCGAAAAAAGUGCUUGAUCGCGAAGUACAAUUUAAAGAUCGUUGCAACAAUGAGAAGCAAAUUGGAUGUCGUGGUUAAACAAGAGCAACGAAUAGUCUUAAAAUUCGAGAGAAAAUUUGAGGCAAAAUCUGAUUGUAUUAUUCGUUUAUUUGCAGUUUUAUAUUAAAUUUAUUAUCUAUGCACAUGUUCAAUAAAAAGUAGUGUUGCUACCUAAGAGUAUCAUUUUGUUUCUUCUGAACAAGUGCACUAAACCGCUAGUUCUUUAUUUUGGUUAAGAUGAAGCAGUGAGACGUUACAAUAA
rnacentral:lncRNA from 1 species